rnacentral:rRNA from 1 species
UACGUAGGGGGCUAGCGUUGUCCGGAAUCAUUGGGCGUAAAGCGCGUGUAGGCGGUUCGGUAAGUCCGCUGUGAAAGUCGGGGGCUCAACCCUCGGAUGCCGGUGGAUACUGUCGGACUAGAGUACGGAAGAGGCGAGUGGAAUUCCUGGUGUAGCGGUGAAAUGCGCAGAUAUCAGGAGGAACACCGAUUGCGAAGGCAGCUCGCUGGGACGUUACUGACGCUGAGACGCGAAAGCGUGGGGAGCAAACGGG